rnacentral:lncRNA from 10 species
CAGAGCAUUUUAACCCUCAGUAGUGAGCACACAGAGAUAUUCCUUCAGCAUACCAUACUGCCAUAGAGUGAUGGAGGAAUGACACCAGUAAUUUGAGACCUCUUCAGUGGCUCUGUGAUACAAAGUUAAAACCAGGUCUGCUGCAGUUUGCGGGAGGUCCACUCCAGACCCUGUUUGCCUGGGUGUCACCAGUGGAGGCUGCAGAACAGAAAGGAUUGCCACCUGCUCCUUCCUCUGGAAGCUUCAUCCCAGAGGGACACUGGCCUGAUGCCAGCCACAGCUCUCCUGUACAAGUGUUUAUUAUAUCCCUCUAUAUGGCCAUGUGUACUCAUCGUUCACCUUCCACUUACAUGUAAAAACAUAUGAAUGUUGCAUAUGCUGAGAAGAAUGUGUAUUCUACAGAUGCUGGAGGAAAUGUUCUGCAAAUAUCUAUUACAUUUAUUUGCCCUAUUGUAUAAAGUAAUGAUUGUGAUUCUUUUUAAAUUUUUAUUCUAGAUUAUCUGCCUUCUAGAUAAUGAAAUUGUAAAAGUCUGUUUUGUGAUAAAAAUGUCUUGAAGCCUUCAGCUGAUCUUUAGGAUUUUACUCUAUUGUUUAAAAUGUAUAAAUUUAAGUGUACAAUGCAAUUUUAUUACAUGAUCAUAUUGUGUAGUGAUAAAGUCAUGGUUUUAGUGUAUUAAUCAUCUGAAUAAUGUACAUUGUACUCAUUAAGUAUGUCUCAUCAACCAAGCUCUUUCCAUCCUUCCACAUUUCUGACUCUCCAAUGUGUAUCAUUCUAUACUUUAUGCCCAUGCUUACAAUAUUGUGAAUAUACAGUAUUUGACUUUAUGUUUCCAAGUUUGUUUGUUUUAGAUCAUGGCCUCCAGUUUUAUACAUGUCAAUAGAGAGGACAUGACUUUAUUCUUUUCUAUAAUGAAAUUGUAUUUUAUUAUGUUUAUGUAGCAUAUUUGUUUAAUCUAAUUAUAUGGUGAUAAUCAGUUUAGGUAAUUCUAUUGUUUUACUACUGUGAAUAAUGCUGCAAUACUUAUAUGAUAUGUAUUUUAUAUAAUGAUUUUAAUAUCUUUGAUAGAUACCCAGUAGUGGGAUUGCUGGAACAAGUGGUACUUACAGUUUUAGUUCUUUGAUAAAUAACCAUUCUGUUUUUCAUAGAGCUUAUACUAAUCUAUAUUCCCACCAACAGUAUUAAGCAUUCUUUCUUAGCAUCCUCAUCAUCUGUUUUUCUUUUUAUGUAAUAGCCAUUUUGAGUGGUGUAAUAUGAUAUCUAUCUUACGGUGGUUUUAGUUUGCAUUUCUUUGAUCAUUAGUGAUGUUGAACAUUGGCUUAUAUGCAUGCUGGCCUUUGGAUGUCUUCUUUUGAUAAAUGACUAUUCAUAUUAUUAAUAGCUUUUAUUAUCCUUUCAAAACUUAAAUUUUGGUUUUCACAAACACAUGAAGGUUUCUUACACAGUUAAACUCAGGUCAUAGGGAUGAGUUGUAAAGAUUAUUUCAUCACCUGGAAAUUAAGCCCAAUACCCAAUAGUUAUCUUUUCUGCUUGUCUCCCUUUUUCUUCCCACCAUCCUCAAGUAGACCCCACUGUCUGUUAUUUCCUUCUUUGUUUUAACAAGUAUUACUUAGCCCUAACCUUUGAUGAAAACUAUUGGUUUUCUCUUCCAGCAUUAGCUUACUCAGAUUAAUACCCUCCAUCUCCAUCCAUGUGCCUGCAAAAAAAAAACAUAAUCUUGCUUUUUUAUAUGUAUAUUGGCAUAGUAUUCCAUGGUAUAUAUAUGCCAUAUUGCUUUAUUCUAUCAUUAAUGAACAUUUAUAUUAAUAUCAUGUCUUUGCUAUUGUAAAUACUGCUGCUAUGAAUAUUCAUGUGUAUGUCUCUGUGUGGUAGGAUGAUUUAUGUAUCAUCCUUUGGUACACACUUAGUCAUAAAAUUGCUUAGCCAAAUGGUAGUUCUGCUUUUAGCCUUUUGCAGAAUCACAAUACUGCUUUCCACAAUGCUUGAACUAAUUUAUGCACCCACAAACAGUGUAUAUAUGUUUCCCUUUCUCUGCAGUCUUGCCAGCAUCUGUUACUAUUUCACUUUUUAGUAAUAGCUUUUCUGACAGCUGUGAGAUUGUAUCUUAUUGUGGUUUUGAUUUGCAUUUAUCUAAUCAUCACUGAUAUUGAGCUUUUUUUAUACAUGAUUAUUGGCAGCAUGUAUGUCUUCUUUUAAAAAAAAUCUGUUCAUGUCCUUUUCCCAUUUUUAAUGGGGUUUUCUAUUGGAAUUGUGUUAAAGUUCUUUAUAGAUGUUGGGUAUUAGACUUUUUCAGAUGCAUAGUUUGCAAAAUUUUUCAGAUUUUUGUCAGAUGCACAGGUUGCAAAAUUUUCUCCCAUUCUGUAGGUUGUCUGUGUACUCUGUUGAUAGUUUCUUUUGCUGUACAAAGUAACAUUUUAAUGGUUUUAUUUGUUUUUCCUGUUGCUUGAGUUUAUUAUAUAUUCUAGAUAUCAGUGUAUUUCUUUUGUUUCUACCCUGACCUUUGUAAUUUAUAAUUUUCUACACAUUGUGAGUAGUUUCAUUUUGUUUUCCUAAAACUCUGAGUUGUCUUAUUUGACUUUUUAGAGCUUUUUACUUUUAAGUGUUGGAAUUUGUUGCUAUCAACUUUUCUAUUUUAGCGAUAUUUGAUUUUUCUUUUUAAUUUUAUAUAUUGUGUUUACUUUUUUAUUUGUCUCAACAUUUAAACAUUUUUAUUUUUACUUUUUUUGGUUCAUUGAUUUUUCAGGAGCAUGCUAUUUAAUUUUUACAUAUCUGUAAAUUUC